ACGGGAGGCAGCAGUGAGGAAUAUUGGUCAAUGGGCGAGAGCCUGAACCAGCCAAGUAGCGUGCAGGAUGACGGCCCUAUGGGUUGUAAACUUCUUUUAUAGGGGGAUAAAGUGAGGCAUGCAUGCCUUUUUGUAGGUACCCUAUGAAUAAGCAUCGGCUAACUCCGUGCCAGCAGCCGCGGUAAUACGGAGGAUGCGAGCGUUAUCCGGAUUUAUUGGGUUUAAAGGGUGCGCAGGCGGCACGUUAAGUCAGCGGUGAAAUGUCGGGGCUCAACCCGGGCACUGCCGUUGAAACUGGCGAGCUCGAGUACGGAUGAAGUCGGCGGAAUGUGAUGUGUAGCGGUGAAAUGCUUAGAUAUGUCACAGAACACCGAUUGCGAAGGCAGCUGACUAAUCCGCAACUGACGCUCAGGCACGAAAGCGUGGGGAUCGAACAGGAUUAGAUACCCUGGUA
rnacentral:rRNA from 1 species